AGGCGUCGCGGGACGACGAGGGGCGGAGAAACGGCGGCGGCCUUGCUUGUCGGAGGUGGUAAAGCUGCGCCAUUUUGUCCGCACUCGCGUGAGCUCGGUGAUUGGGCUUCGUUGGUCGGCGCUGGAGCCAAUCAGAGGGGAACCGUGCGGCGGAGAAACGAUCGUUGUCGUCGUCGUCGUCAACAACAACAGCAGCAAGCAGUAGCAGAGUGAGGUGACGUGGGCAUGGAGCAAUACACCACCACCGCCUCCACCACCGGGGAGCAGAUUGUGGUCCAGGCGGCCAGUGGGCAGCUGCAGCAGCAGGGCACAGUGACCGCAGUGCAGCUGCAGACUGAGGCCCAGGUGGCACCGGCCUCUGGUCAGCAGGUGCAGACACUCCAGGUAGUGCAGGGUCAGCCCCUGAUGGUGCAGGUCAGCGGAGGCCAGCUGAUCACCUCCUCAGGGCAGCCGAUCAUGGUGCAGGCCAUGCCUGGAAGCCAGGGCCAGACUAUCAUGCAGGUGCCUGUAUCAGGGGCACAGGGUCUGCAGCAGAUCCAGCUCGUCCAGCCAGGGCAGAUCCAGCUGCAGGGGGGACAGGCGCUUCAAGUGCAGGGCCAACAAGGUGCCACCCAGCAGAUCAUCAUCCAACAGCCCCAGACGGCCGUCACCGCCGGACAGACCCAGGGCCAGCAGCAGAUCACGGUGCAGGGCCAGCAAGUGGCGCAGACGGCCGAGGGCCAGACUAUUGUAUACCAGCCGGUCAAUGCUGACGGCACAAUCCUGCAGCAGGGAAUGAUCACCAUCCCGGCGGCGAGCCUGGCAGGGGCCCAGAUCGUGCAGGCCGGCUCUAACACCAACACCAGUACCAGCGGCCAGGGCACCGUGACAGUUACCCUGCCGGUGUCUGGCAACAUGGUGAAUGCCGGAGGCAUGGUGAUGAUGGUGCCUGGCAGCGGCACCGUGCCCUCCAUCCAGCGCAUCCCACUGCCUGGCGCCGAGAUGCUGGAAGAGGAGCCGCUCUACGUUAACGCCAAGCAGUACCACCGCAUCCUGAAGCGCCGGCAGGCCCGCGCCAAGCUGGAAGCUGAGGGCAAAAUCCCCAAGGAGCGGAGGAAAUACCUGCACGAGUCACGACACCGGCAUGCCAUGCAGAGGAAGCGCGGUGAUGGCGGCCGCUUCUUCUCACCCAAGGAGAAGGAGGAAAUGGCCCUUGCCCUACAGGUGAGGGAAAAGGGGGACUUAAGCCAGCAGCAGCAGGAGGAUGUGCUUAGGGCUCUGCAGCUCAACUCCCAUUGGCCACCCAUGUCUGCCCCACCCCUCGGGUAAACAGUGGAACAUCCCACUUGUACUCAGUGGGCCUUACCUGUAAGACGAGAGCCAUGUUUUCUUUGUGUCUGAAACCUUCUGUUUGUUCAUUGUCUUAUGCCAGCUACCUCAGAUAAGAUUAUUUUUAUGGUUUGUUAAAUAUGGGGGGCGGCAUGGUGGUGCAGUGGUUAGCACUGUCGCCUCACACCUCUGGGACCCGGGUUCGAGUCUCUGCCUGGGUCACAUGUGUGCGGAGUUUGCAUGUUCUCCCCGUGUCGUCGUGGGGUUUCCUCCGGGUACUCCGGUUUCCCCCCACAGUCCAAAAACAUGCUGAGGCUAAUUGGAGUUGCUGAAUUGCCCGUAGGUGUGCAUGCGUGAAUGAAUGGUGUGUGAGUGUGCCCUGCAAUGGGCUGGCCCCCCAUCCUGGGUUGUUCCCUGCCUCGUGCCCAUUGAUUCCGGGAUAGGCUCCGGACCCCCCGCGACCCAGUAGGAUAAGCGGUUUGGAAAAUGGAUGGAUGGAUGGAUGGAAGUCACAGAGUACUCAACUGUUUGGUUGCAACAAAAUCCUGUACUGGAUUUGUACUUUCUGGAUAUAAAACCUCUAUUGAUCAGUAUAGUCUAAGCCAUCAAAAAUAAACGUAACUGUGUUUUGAAUGUUAUUAUGUUGACCUGUCAUGGAAUUACCCUUAAGAGCUUCUCAGGGGUAAAUGUCCAGCAAAACACAUAGGAAUAAAUCCUUUGUGUUUCCCUUUUAAUGAGGAAAAUUUAAAUACUGUUUUAUAAUGGGGUCCCAUGUACAUCUUUUGCAUAUUGUAAUGUAUUGUAUAUUAACUAAUCUUGUAUUAUAACUGCACUUUUCAUUCUGUCUUGGGCACCCUGGGUUUCUUGGUAGAGGUCCCAGGUUUGCUGUGGAUUUGUGGAUAUGGAAGGUGAUUGAUUGGUGUAUUUCUACAUGAUCUUUAAUCUGAGUGUUGCCUUGUAAAAGGCAAUGGCAGAAAGGAACACAGAGAGAGUGCUGAGGUAAGGGCGUCUACCACAUUAAAUGGCAAGAUGACAGGUACGCUUCUCAUUAGCACUGAAAAUAGGAGAGGAGAUUACCUGAGGACUUUCCUGAUGAGUAGCAAACCGUGAAACAGGAGAGGAAGGGAGGAGCUAAUGAAGAAAAGGAUCUCUAUGGGCCAGUGGUCAGCUGGUCAACCUAAUAACAAUAUAGAAUUUAUAAAAGAGUCAUUAAGUGCUGUGUCAACAAAUGCAGCAGCUGUGAGUUCGUUUUGCCUUAUCGGAGCUCCAAACCACCAGACCUUGAUCUAAGAGCAAGUAAACAUGAUCUUUCUCCAUGAAGAGGAACAGAGCCAGUGUGGAUCUCAUGCUGUACCUGUCAGGAUGCGGGCAGGUCAUUGUUUAUGCCAUUGGCUUGAAGCAUAAAUUGUUGAUGUUGACAUUUUUUUUCCCAACUUGGCAUCCUGUCUGCUUUUACCUCUGAAUGCUCCGCUCUAGUGUUUGUGGGUGUUUAUGAACAAGUGCUGCUUUGGUUUGAACGGCACUGGUCUGGUAUCUCUUAACCUGUUCAUCAGAACAUCCUUGAGGCGUAUUGCUCAGGGUUCAGUCAGUUGUCACAGUGACUAUAACAUCUUCUGUGGGUUUUUUUGGCAAUACCCCUCCUUCCCCCAUCCCCCAAUAUUGGGGACGGAAAGCAGAACCACUUGACAUGUAGGCAUUUCCUGAGCUGACUGCUCACUUUUCUUUGUUGUUCAUCCCCUUUCACCAGUAGUGCGAACUGUUAAACGAUACAUACGCAAUAAUGCAUUGAGUUUUGCAACAUCUUUUCAUACAUACAAUUUAAAUAAAUAUACAGCUCUGGAAAAAAUUGAGACCACAGCAAAAGUUUCAGUUUCACUCAUGUGUGAAAUAUCCAUGUUAUUUUGCAAACUGCAGCCUGGCUCUUCCCUGAUUCUCAUUGAUGAAGGGCUGUUUUUUUUUCUUUUUGGGUCUUCAGUCCUGCUUCUACACUGUUGGAAAAAACGGUACAGACCUGGUACAGUUUUGUCGUCCAAGGUACAAGCAAUAAUAAUGUGCCCCCAAUGAUACAGAAAAUAUACCUCAGAGUUCAUUUCUGUACCUUAAAAGGUACAUUACCCUACAGCUAGAGUACAAGUGGCAGUCGCUUGAGGGUACAGCCCCAGUGACAAGUAAUUGUACCCUCAGAGGUACAAAUUGGUACUUUUUCUGAGUGUAGGAGUCUGUUAUGAAUUGUCCUAGCAGUGCACUUAAUGUUUCCCAUUCUUUUUGAAGGUCGCUUGAGGUCAUCCUCCGAUUUAUAAGGCAUUACGGAUAAGUUAAUGCUCAUCUCUGGAAUUAGAAAGCUGCUUCUGCUCUCUACCUGGCUGGUUUUUGGCUGUUGCCAGCAUUCCUGCUUCACCUUGUUCUUGCGUAUUGCUGCUGUAGAAACCGCCUCGCAGUGUAGCCUUCUGCCAGCAGCACCAGGAUUAAACCAGGAUUUAAAAAGGCAUAUUUUAAGAAAUAUAGUGCGGUCUCUUAAUUUUUUCCAGAACUGUAUGCGUGUUAGAGUGCCAGUUGCUUUUUCAUGUUUGAAAAUUGCCAAAGUGUGCUUCUUCCAGAGCACCAAGCGCACACUUGAGUGUUUUUAACAUCCAUGAACAAUGGAACCCUAUGAAGAAACUGAUUGCUGUUGAGUAAGCUAAUGGCAAUCACCUAUAUUCUUUUUGGAUUGCAUCAUAUGUGAUCAUAUGAGAAAUGCAUAUAUACCUGUCUGCCCAAUGAGGAUGCACCAUGCUCUGUGCAUUCUGGGAUUGGCUCUGGGCUAACAGUAACCAUAUACUGGAUAAGCAGUUAUGGAAAGUGAAUGGAUAGAUUUACCAGUGUAGGACCAUUAAUCUAGGAUAUCUAUGACAUUGACCAUACUGACUAGGUAUUUAUUUCUCACUAGCCCAUGUUCUUUUACUCAUUAGAGUAAGUGUGAGCUGGAGUGGACAGGGCAAGACACAGCCAGUCAGGUAAAGGGCAAGGUUUCUAUUAGAUGCUAAUUUGCCAUUGUUGUGGUCAUAAUCAUCAGGUUGCCAGCAUUUACCAAAAAUGAUGCGAACGAGCUGUUUGACUUCAGCUACCUCGGGAGGGGAGGGGUGGCCUUUUGUAAAGAGGGUGGUACCGCCCCCUCCCCGUCUUCCCUAGUCCCCACCAGCCAGGAGAUUACCAUGAAAACGUAUGUUGGAUGUUAAAAUGCCCGGGCAAGAGUGCGGCGAACCUAGAGGCUGAGAGCUGCAAACAGGAAACGAUGGCACAAAAGCAGAGUGGGGUGAGUCUGGCCUGGAUGGGGGCCUGGGCUAGGGGCUGGUUGUGGUCCUUUGGUGGACAUGUGAUUGAGACGCACUGGGGAGCGGACGGUGGUUUUUCCAUGGACAGCAAACUGCGUACGGACUGGCGUUCCUCUCUGCAUAGCGGCCCGGAGUAGCUGAGUGUGUGAGUCCUGCUUCCUCCAUUCACUGGGUUGUAGAAGUUAUCAAGGGCUGGGUGUUUCCUGUGGUUCAUUAGCAGACAAAAGACUGGAUGUGGAUUAGAGUCCCUUUAUGAACAGUGCCUGUGUGUGACGUCUGGUUCCUCGAAGCAGCCCUGUGGCUUUGACUCCCGGGAGUCACUGUUCAUAGUGCUGCUUCUGCCUUGAGUUUAGACUCUCACAAUGAUUGAAGUCAUGGAACGCAGGGGUCGGUCUGAUCUGGAUGUAGAAAGUGUGCGUCUGCAGAAGGAGUAACGUGGGGUUAGGGGUGGGCGAUACGGCAAAAAUAUCAUAUCGUGAUUUUUUCAGGCAAGAUCACGAUCCACGAUCUUAUUGCAAUUCUUUUUCAUGCUGGUUUUGCAAGCUACUUAACAGUUCAACCAAACUAAUAAAUAAAACCUAAAAGACAAACCUGCCCAGCACACUCUUUUGUGGGUUUUCUUUUGAGUUGGUUAAUAAGGUUCCUCGUGCUGCCAUCCGACGUGCAAACCUUUGUGCAAUCUUUGCAAAAUUUGCAAAUAACUGUUGCUUGCACCCUGUUGGUUUUGGAAAAUCCAAACAAGUUCCAAAUCACCGACGUCAAAUUAUUUUUAAGGACCAGCUCCUUCGUGCCAUCCAUGCCACUACGCUGGCAAAUAUGGAAUGUGUUGCAUGUUGCACAUUGCAUGUCGGGAUUGGCGUGAAACGGAGAGAGGAAGAAAUACAAGACACUGCCUACUGCCGGUUUAUUGUUGUGUCGAAAGAGAUUUAACUGACAAAACAACUUUAGAUGUGUAUAUGAGCCAUAGUACUGCAACUGAUAGAAUGUGCACUGUAGUGCGAUACUAAUGAUCUCUCCGUAAAGGCAGAUUGUGGAGACAUUUUAAUCGUUCAUGAUUUAAUAUCGUCACGUCGUACACUCCUUCUUGGGGGGUUGGUGUUUCAGAAGUUUUGUGGUGGGAGAGACUACUGGUUCUGUUUUGGAGGUAGAUUUCUUAACAUUCUUCACAUUUUUCCCAUUCUGCUCUCUGCUGCAGCUUGUGGGUCAGUGUGUAUCUUCUAAGGGUGAUCCAGUGAUUGCCUUCUGCAGCCUCCUUUGUUCCAGCGGAGGCUCUAUUUUGUGAUCCAGGUGUUCAGAGGUCAGGUGUACGAAUGAGCAAAAUCAAGCAAUGAAAAUAAGGAAAACUGCUAAACUGACAGAUUGUGGCUGCGAGACUUCAUCAUUUCCAAGGACAGCCUCAACCCUUUGAGUCAGCCAGACAGCAGGAUAGGACAGCCUAUAGUCACUCUUAUUUUUUGCCUUACUUAGCUUAUUAACAAUUGCAUUUUCCAUCUGAACAUCAGACUAACAAUGGCCUGGGCUCCUUCUCCUCUGCCAUAUCUGGAAAUAAAACCCAAGGAUUCCUGAUAUGGAUCCUGACGGGGAGAACUUUAUUGCCAUCGGUUCGCUGUUACAUUUACGCUCCACUCAAGGUCAAAAUUCAGAAUUGAGGAUUAUUGUCAAGGACGCCGUCUGACACUCGUAUCAUUUCUGUUCAAGCAUAACAAGCAGCUUAAUCCCAGAGUUGGAGGGGAUUUAGCUGGGAAAAGCUUAGUGGAGUUAAAUGUUAGAAAGCAUGUGGGAGGGGGACUAAUCCAGAGGCAGGCCAUGGAACGGUGUCUGAGGCCCUGAAAUGAUCUUUUUACUGUUAGCAUAAUACUAACAACACCGUGAUUAUAUUAGUUGCCAGACAGCCAUUGUUGUUAUCCUGCUUUCAGCCCUGGAUGCUACCCUCUAAAAAUCCGUAAGUUCUAUGUCUCCAUGGAAACAGCGGGACUUUAUUGGUGUUCUAGAAAAUAUGGGACAUGUGUCAUCCUCCUGCGGACUGGUGCAUGUUGGGAAAUGAAGAAGGAACCUGGAAAAGAAGGUGCUGUAUUGGUUAGACACGCGACUCAAAGCUGAAAGUGAGUUUUGAUUAAAAAAAAAGUGAAACAGUAAGAAUAAUAAAAUUGACUGCCCAAUUAUCCACAUGAAUUCCUAAAGCAGCGGUUCUCAACCCGUGGGUCGUGACCCAAAUUUGGGUCGGAAAGGGGCAAAAUUCACUGGCAUAUCCAAUCAGAUUUGUGCGAUAGGCAUUGAUUGGCAUAAACUGCAGAGUGCACUGCGUGCUUGAUCAUAGCGUUAAUUUAAACCCAUAUAGAGUCGCGACUGAGAUGGCACGGUAAAAAUUGGGUCGCGGUGCAAAAAAAGGUUGGUAUAAAGAAUGUCCAAAAUCUUUGUGUGCCACAGAUUCUGUGUGUGAGUGUGUGCGCACACGAGUGACCUCUGACCUCGGAGGGGCAUCUAUCUAACAGAAUUAUCAACAUGCUGGAAAGCAGAACCGUGAGCCGCAUUACCAUGCGUAUGUGUCCCUGCCCUGUCAGACUUCCCCCGGGUCCCUCCGCCCCAUGAUUUUAGUCUCCCUGAGCUGUACAGAGGGCAGUUGCGUAACAUGUCUGAGAGACUAUUGGCUCGCUUGCCUCAUUGAAAGAGAACAAGAUAUUUUUAGGGAACAGUUCGAAAGCCUUCAGCAAUCCGGUGACAUUGUCUGCUUGGCAACAGCUUGACAAAAUUCAACGUGUUGAUGUUUUUUGAUACAAUAAUGAGAAUCUGGGGUUGCUUGCUUAAUAUUAAUCUGGUAGGAAGCUUUGGCAGGAGAGUCUAUAAACCAGAUGAUGACCUAAUUUAACACACUUUGUAUUUUUUUCUUUCAUUUUUAUUUGGCUGUUUGUAACUCCCCCCCCCCCCCCCACUGCUCCUGUUUUAUACUCACGACCUUGUGAUUUAAUAAUAACACCAAUGUAAUGUGAGCCCUGGUAAUGCUGAGCACCAGGUGCGGAAAACUCAGUCCAUUGGAGGGCGCUGACCCUCUCAGCCGGUCACACACUAUGGGUAGCUCAAGUAAAAGCGGGGAGAAUCUGGAGCGCGAACAUGGAGAGUACAAGGAGACUCACAAAGCCGAGGCGCCGAACCCACAACCUCCUGUAGUAUACUACGUUUAAAACCUGUAUUUAAUACCUACAAGUGCUAGAUUUCCCAGAGGUGUGAGAUCACAGCGCUACCUGCUGACACGCUGCUCUGUCGCCUGGAAUUUUCAUGAUGAGCUACACUGGGAUGUUAUGCGGGAAGGUUUACAUGUAAGUCUAGAUAUUUUCACUUUGUAAAAAUGCAAUGUCUGCCUUUCUCUUUUUCGCAAUAUAAUGAGG